rnacentral:rRNA from 1 species
AUGGGUCGCUCGUCUUCCUCUCCGCCUUUCUCCCCCACACGCUGUCAGCCACAACCGCCUCCUCCUCUUCCUCUUCUCCGCACUUGUCACCCCCUCUCCCUCAAGAAUAUCCACGGGACACCGCUCAGCCUCUUCUCCGUCUUGGUGCUGAGCAAGAAGAUGGGGCGUAUCUGGGCGUCGGCUCCCGUGCCACUUCCCUGGAACGAGGGAUCUCGCCAGUGUGAUCUCCCUACAUGGCGAGGAGGAGGGGAGGACCGCAACAUCGGUCAGAGAAGGUGGGGAGGAAUGGAUGCCAACAAGGGAGGCGGCUCAGCGUUGCCCACUCCCCACCGGCCUCCUUUGUCUCCCAAACACAUAUGGCUGCAAUCCUUCCUCUGCUCUGGUGUCGUGGGAGCAAGAACAAGGGCAGAAAUGAUUUGUAUCUACAUCCAGUGUUCACACGGCCAGAUCGAUGGAUCUGCCUCAUCCAGAUCUUCCACAAGGGCACGAGGUGGUGCUGAAGUCGGCUAG